UGCGUAGGCGGGCUAAUAAGUUAGUGGUGAAAGCCCCCGGCUCAACCGGGGAACUGCCAUUAAUACUGUCAUUCUUGAGUAUAGUUGAAGUGGGCGGAAUGUAUCAUGUAGCGGUGAAAUGCUUAGAUAUGAUACAGAACACCGAUAGCGUAGGCAGCUUGCUAAACUAUAACUGACGCUCAGGCACGAAAGCGUGGGGAGCAAACAGGAUUAGAUACCCUGGUAGUCC
rnacentral:rRNA from 1 species